ACUCGAGUGGCGAACGGGUGAGUAACACGUGGGUGAUCUGCCCUGCACUUCGGGAUAAGCCUGGGAAACUGGGUCUAAUACCGGAUAGGAGCCAUCUUUAGUGUGGUGGUUGGAAAGUUUUUCGGUGUAGGAUGAGCUCGCGGCCUAUCAGCUUGUUGGUGGGGUAACGGCUUACCAAGGCGGCGACGGGUAGCCGGCCUGAGAGGGUGGACGGCCACAUUGGGACUGAGAUACGGCCCAG
rnacentral:rRNA from 1 species